rnacentral:rRNA from 1 species
GAUGAACGCUGGCGGCGUGCCUAAUACAUGCAAGUCGAGCGAACAGAUAAGGAGCUUGCUCCUUUGACGUUAGCGGCGGACGGGUGAGUAACACGUGGAUAACCUACCUAUAAGACUGGGAUAACUUCGGGAAACCGGAGCUAAUACCGGAUAAGAUUUUGAACCGCAUGGUUCAAUAGUGAAAGACGGCCUUGCUGUCACUUAUAGAUGGAUCCGCGCCGUAUUAGCUAGUUGGUAAGGUAACGGCUUACAAAGGCAACGAUACGUAGCCGACCUGAGAGGGUGAUCGGCCACACUGGAACUGAGACACGGUCCAGACUCCUACGGGAGGCAGCAGUAGGGAAUCUUCCGCAAUGGGCGAAAGCCUGACGGAGCAACGCCGCGUGAGUGAUGAAGGUCUUCGGAUCGUAAAACUCUGUUAUCAGGGAAGAACAAACGUGUAAGUAACUGUGCACGUCUUGACGGUACCUGAUCAGAAAGCCACGGCUAACUACGUG